rnacentral:rRNA from 1 species
UAAAACUUUCAACAAUGGAUCUCUUGGCUCUGGCAUCGAUGAAGAACGCAGCGAAAUGCGAUAAGUAAUGUGAAUUGCAGAAUUCAGUGAAUCAUCGAAUCUUUGAACGCACAUUGCGCCCUCUGGUAUUCCGGAGGGCAUGCCUGUUUGAGUGUCAUUAACUUCUCACAAAACCUUCUGGUUUCUGUUGAUGUUGGGAGUUGCGUUUCCUUGUGAGACGCUCUCCUCAAAUGCAUUGGUGCGGCCUGCCGCCCGGUUACACAACGUUCUAGGUUCGUCCAACUCGUUGCUAAAUCGGUGCACCAUUUGGUGCUGCACCUAAAGCCCGCCUUGUGCCUUGUGCUCUUGGCUUAUCUUAUUUAUUGACCUCAGAUCAGGUAGGAAUACGCGCUGAACUUAA